GCCAGUGUGCUGCAGUGGUUUGAGUGUUGGACUAUGACUCUGGAGACCAGGGUUCGAUUUGCUGCUUGGCC